UACGAAGGGGGCUAGCGUUGCUCGGAAUCACUGGGCGUAAAGCGCACGUAGGCGGCUUUUUAAGUCAGGGGUGAAAUCCUGGAGCUCAACUCCAGAACUGCCUUUGAUACUGAGAAGCUGGAGUCCGGGAGAGGUGAGUGGAACUGCGAGUGUAGAGGUGAAAUUCGUAGAUAUUCGCAAGAACACCAGUGGCGAAGGCGGCUCACUGGGUCGACACUGACGCUGAGGCGCGAAAGCUAGGGGAGCGAACAGG
rnacentral:rRNA from 1 species